UUCCUUUAUUCAUUUGGAGAUUGGUUCACAAGAAGCCACCUGAGUAUGUGACUCAUUCGUCAUUCCAGACAACCUCUCCUGGGACAGCAGAAUUAACAUAAAAAUGCAAGCAGCACAGAGCCAUCCACAACAUAUUAGGUUUGUGGUCUUGCUUUGGCCCAGUAUUUCCUUACCAAGACAUUUUGGAAUGGUAAUAUAUAUCCUGCAUGAUAUGAUGUUGGAGAGUCAUGUGUUUGAACAAGUCUAUGGAGGCCAAGGAGUCAAAUGUGGUGGUUUGAACAAGCUUGGCCGAGGAAGUGGCACCAUUAGGAGUUGUAGCCUU
rnacentral:lncRNA from 1 species